GGCCAGUGUGGUGUAAUGGUUUGAGCACUGGACUAGAAUACUGGGAGACCAGGGUUCGAAUCCCGGCUUGGCCA